rnacentral:rRNA from 1 species
CCUACGGGGGGCAGCAGUGAGGGAUCUUGCGCAAUGGGCGAAAGCCUGACGCAGCGACGCCGCGUGACCGAUGAAGUCCUUCGGGAUGUAAAGGUCUUUUGGCAGGGAAGAAGGAAGUGACGGUACCUGCAGAAUAAGCCCCGGCUAACUACGUGCCAGCAGCCGCGGUAAUACGUAGGGGGCGAGCGUUGUCCGAAGUUACUGGGCGUAAAGCGCGCGUAGGCGGUUGCUUAAGUUAGAUGUGAAAUCCCGCGGCCUAACUGCGGAACUGCAUCUGAAACUGGGCGACUUGAGGACGGAAGAGGGCAGUGGAAUUCCUGGUGUAGCGGUGAAAUGCGUAGAUAUCAGGAGGAACACCGGUGGCGAAGGCGGCUGCCUGGUCCGUAUCUGACGCUGAGGUGCGAAAGCUAGGGGAGCGAACGGGCUUAGAUACCCCAGUAGUC